ACUAAAAGGUAACCCUUAAUAUCAAUUAGAUUUAAAAGCCAAUAGAAAAAAAAUAUCCUCUCUUACCCUCGUAUACCCAAUUUAUCUUAGUCAAUUUUUACUUAAUUUUCAAGUUCUGAAAGUCUUGAUGGCUGGGAUAUGGUUUUGAGCUCUGAAGCUUCGGUGGUUUGAAGCUUCUUUCAAUGGCUACGAUGGAUCUGAGCUGAAGCACACAUCAAUUUUUUUCUUUUUGCUUGAACUGAAGCACACUAAGAGAUUUAGCUUGUAGCUGGAGAAAUCGAUGUGGAAUUCUCUAUCUUAGGAUCAAUAGUUUUGGUGAGGUAAGUAUAAAUGGUUGCUUAAAACUUGUGUGUUUUAGAAAAACAAUAUAAUCUGGCUUUGUUUUCCAGCUUUUAAUUAAUUAUUGAAUUGUUGAUUCAUGAUUAAUUCCAUCAUUUGUCGAUUGAUUUGAAAAGCUUCAACUGUAAUUCAUUUAAUAGGAUUUUGAUGUCAAACCUAAAUUAACCCAAUAAGGUGCUCUGUACUACUAUAAAUUGUGUUUGUUAUAAUGAAUAAAUUCAUCAAAUUUACUGUAACACUGGAAGACGAGGAAAACAGACCAUUUUUAUACCGAAAGGUAGCUUGUGAGAUCAGUCGAGGUGCAAAAGUUGGGACGGACACCAUAAUCAUAAUAGAUCAAUCGUUUGGGGUUAGUUAACAUGAGAGGGGCUAGUUUAAGGGACUGUGUGUGAGAAAUCAAAAAGGUUUGGGAAGUCGUAGCUUCGGGCUUCGCAUCUCUCAUGCAUGCGUGCAUGAGACAAUAGGCAGUUUGAUAAUGAUCGAGUGACCAUUGUCUAAUUUUAUUGUAGUUUAACGAGAAUUACAAAGCACAUAAGUAGUUGGUUUGAGUUUUUUUAGUUCCUACAGGACCAAGUACUUUAUAAAACUUUAAAGUUUGGAUUCAGAGACUUCUUUUUAUGACUAAUUCCCAGAUGAUCAACUUUGGUUUGCUUAUAACUUGGGAGGGUGAGUCCCACCUUUUUAUCUUGAUUAUUCACUUUCUAAAUAGGAAGUUAUUGGAGAUACCACAAUAGUUUUGUUAUCCAAAGCAUGUCUUCUUUAUCUUUUCACUGUAACUACUACAUCCUCUCUCUCCUUUACUCUAUCUUCUAAAUCUGCACUCUUGGUUUUCUUCUACAAGUUUGAAAAAUUUAGAGAAGUAAUUAAUUUUGAAGAACAAAAAUGCAAAAUAGAGUUGGUAUUAGAUUGUUAACUGAACAACGUUAUGAUGAAGAAGUACGACCCUACAUUCAACAAUUAAUGAAAGCUUAGAGCUUCUCUCAAGCCCAAACAUCAGAGGAUAACAAUUCUAUUUACAUUGAUGUUGAGCUGAACUAUGAGCCAGGUUCUUUCUUGAAACUUGAAAUUAUAAAUUAUGUGCAUAAAAUACAUGAGAAUAUGUAUUCUUUCUAGUUUGCUUCAAGUCUACGUUCUUUUCAACCCCCCUUUUCUCUUAUUAUGACAUAUGAAUAAGCGGUAGUUACUAAAGAUGGGUUUUAACCAACUUGUUUCUUUAGUGAAAAAAGCUUAUAUACCCGCAUAUAGGAAACCAAAACUCACUCAGAAAAAGCACCGUUCCUCUCUUAAUCUUUCAAAACAUCAAAUAACUUGCCCAGGUUGCUUUCUGUUUCAUAACCUCUAACUAUUGGACUGCCUAGAGUGUUGAUUCUUCUUCUCAGUUUGGGGUUGUUUGUUAAGUUGAAACAAGAAACAGUUUCUCCAAUUAAAAAUUUAAAGAGGACAGUUUAAUUAACUUGGUUUCAUAAUUGGAGACCCUACACUGUUUAGAUUUGCGCUGUACAUAAUUUCUCUGAUGAAUGUAAUAGAGUGGGUUCUAAAUUUAAUUCAAGUUCUUCAAACACAAGUAAAGUUCGUGACCUACUUUAUUAAAAGAUAUUUGGAAUUUACCGCUUGGAAAAAAAUUGUUGUGCCGUUUAAUAGUCGCAAGACAAAAACUUGCUAGCUUUCUAGGCAUCAUUUCUAGAACCACAGAUUUGACACAGCUAAAUGUGAAUGAUUGGCGAGUGUUUGAUGAUGAAGAAAAGAAAAAGUUGGUGGAGUUUGUGAAGAAAAAGUUCUCCAUUUCGAUAUGUGAGAAGAGUUUGUGAAAAAGUCAAUAGGAAAAAAGUGGAGAGACUAUAAAUGCGACUUGAAGGAUUUGUAUGUGACUAAAUAUAAGACCGGAAAUGCUUUGAUGAAAAACAGACCAAAUCAUAUACCAAGGUUUGAUGCCAAUAGUGGCAAUGAACAAGCAAUAUAAGCAUUGCUCAAGUUUUCAAGUGGUGACAACUACUUUUUUCUCACAAGUAAUCUUUUUUAUCAUCAUGAGAUUUCACUACAAAAAAAAUAAAGUUGUGUACCAAUGGAAGAAGUAAUUAAUACUUGAGGACAUUUAUACAAAAUAUAUAAUUUUUCGAUAAACAAUUUAAUUUACUCAAGUCUAUACAUGAUUAAUUAGCAAGAAUUUAAUUUAGACACAUCAUUCUACCUAAGUUCAGCACAAAUUUAUGUAACAUAGGAGAGUUUGGACAUUAAUAUAGCUCAAAAUAAUUACUCACA